rfam:Otolemur garnettii contig186792, whole genome shotgun sequence.
GCCAGCCUGUAGUCCCAUCAACUUGGGAGGCUGAUAUAGGAGAUCACUUGAGUCCAGGAGUUCUGAGCUGUAGUGCACUAUGCUGAUUGGGUGUCCACACUAAGUUCGGCAUCAAUAUGGUGACCUCUUGGGAGUGGGGGUGCCACCAGCUUGCCGGAGGGGUGAACCAGCCCAGGUAGGAAAUGGAGCAGGUCAAAACUCCCAUGCUGAUCAGUAGUGGGAUGGUGCCUGCAUUCCAGCCUGGGCAACAUAGUGAAACCCUGGCUUUG